ensembl:lncRNA
UGUGCGCAAACCAUUUUGAAUUGGACUGUUUUGCCAACCUGGGUGAAUAUAACGCUGGACUCGCAACAAGAUUGACCUUGCAAGCGGGUUCAGUACCAUCUAUCCGUCGCAUUUCAGACGAGGGAAAUGGAUACCAGCCUUCAGCAGAUUAGAGAAGGUGUUGACCAACAAGAGGGUUCUGAAAGAUGUGGGGAAGCUGAGCCCUCACUACCAGACCUCGUCGUUGGAGUCUUUCCACAGCGUCAUUCUGCGUUUUGCGCCCAAAAACGUAGUCUUUCCUUUUCUUGGAAUGUUAUGCAGACUCUACCUGGCAGUCCUGCAUUUCAAUGAAAAUGCUGGGCGUCCCCAAGCAACAAGUUCAGCUGGUG